rnacentral:tRNA from 1 species
UGGGGCGUAGCCAAGUGGUAAGGCAGUGGAUUUUGAUUCCACCAUUCGGAGGUUCGAUCCCUCCCGCCCCAGCCA